rnacentral:lncRNA from 1 species
AGAAUGUCAUCAUCAAAGGGUCGACGGAAAGGAAACUUAACUAUGGAGUGACUUCGUCAAACAGUUGACGGAAGGAUUGUCAUCAUCAGAUGGCUGAUGGAAAAGACUAUCAUCAUCAGAGGGUUGAUGAAAAGGUAAAUUUCAUCGUCAACGGGUUGACAGAAAGAGAAAUUUACAUUCUCAAAGGGUUGAUAGAAGGAAA